CUAGUGGUUAGAGCGUUGGACUAGUAACCAGCAGGUAGCCUAGUGGUUAGAGCGUUGGACUAGUAACCAGCAGGUAGCCUAGUGGUUAGAGCGUUGGACUAGUAACCAGCAGGUAGCCUAGUGGUUAGAGCGUUGGACUAGUAAACAGCAGGUAGCCUAGUGGUUAGAGCGUUGGACUAGUAAACAGCAGGUAGCCUAGUGGUUAGAGCGUUGGACUAGUAACCAGCAGGUAGCCUAGUGGUUAGAGCGUUGGACUAGUAACCAGCAGGUAGCCUAGUGGUUAGAGCGUUGGACUAGUAAACAGCAGGUAGCCUAGUGGUUAGAGCGUUGGACUAGUAAACAGCAGGUAGCCUAGUGG